GCAGACAGGGUGCUCACACAGGGCGUGAGGCCUGGCUUCCCAGUGAGGGCAGCAGCCCAGUUACUGGGGACGUCGGCCCCGGGCAGGUCCUGCUGGCUGGCUCCUCAGGCUACCUGGUGGGCUUUAAAUUCCUGGAAAGUCACGGCUCUGACAGCGGCUCCGCUAACUCAUUCCACCGUCUCAUUUCACGAAAUGAAUUUAAAACUCCGCUCCCUGACCUCACACGAGUCCCCGUGAGUCUCUCACGCCCUCUGCUGUGUUCUCGCCUGGCUAAAGCAAGUGGCUUUUGAGGUGGAGUCCGAACCCCUGAUGGGAAACUGCGGGCUGCCCGCGGUGCCACCAUGCUGGAGGUACAGCCCCGUGGUGGAGGCCGGCUCGGACAUGGUCUUCUGGUGGACCAUCAACGACAAGCAGUCCCUGACCUUCCAGAACGUGGUCUUCAAUGUCAUUUAUCAGAGCGCGGCGGUCUUCAAGCUCUCACUGACGGCCUCCAACCACGUGAGCAACGUCACCGUGAACUACAACAUCACCGUGGAGCGGAUGAACAGGAUGCAGGGCCUGCGGGUCUCUACAGUGCCAGCCGUGCUGUCCCCCAAUGCCACGCUGGCACUGACGGCGGGCGUGCUGGUGGACUCGGCCGUGGAGGUGGCCUUCCUGUGGACCUUUGGGGAUGGGGAGCAGGCCCUCCACCAGUUCCAGCCUCCAUACAACGAGUCCUUCCCGGUUCCAGACCCCUCGGUGGCCCAGGUGCUGGUGGAGCACAAUGUCACCCACACCUACGCUGCCCCAGGUGCUGAUCCGCAGUGGCCGGGUGCCCAUUGUGUCCUUGGAGUGUGUGUCCUGCAAGGCACAGGCCGUGUACGAAGUGAGCCGCAGCUCCUACGUGUACCUGGAGGGCCGCUGCCUCAAUUGCAGCAGCGGCUCCAAGCGAGGGCGGUGGGCUGCACGUACGUUCAGCAACAAGACGCUGGUGCUGGAUGAGACCACCACAUCCACGGGCAGCGCAGGCAUGUGACUGGUGCUGCGGCGGGGCGUGCUGCGGGACGGCGAGGGAUACACCUUCACGCUGACGGUGCUGGGCCGCUCUGGCGAGGAGGAGGGCUGCGCCUCCAUCCCCCUGUCCCCCAACCGCCCGCCGCUGGGGGGCUCUUGCCGCCUCUUCCCACUGGGCGCUGUGCACGCUCUCACCACCAAGGUGCACUUCGAAUGCAUGGGCUGGCAUGACGCGGAGGAUGCUGGCGCCCCGCUGGUGUACGCCCUGCUGCUGCAGCGCUGCCGCCAGGGCCACUGCGAGGAGUUCUGUGUCUACAAGGGCAGCCUCUCCGGCUACGGAGCCGUGCUGCCCCCGGGUUUCAGGCCACACUUCGAGGUGGGCCUGGCCGUGGUGGUGCAGGACCAGCUGGGAGCCGCUGUGGUCGCCCUCAACAGGUCUCUGGCCAUCACCCUCCCAGAGCCCAACGGCAGCGCAAUGGGGCUCACAGUCUGGCUGCACGGGCUCACCGCUAGUGUGCUCCCAGGGCUGCUGCGGCAGGCCGAUCCCCAGCACGUCAUCGAGUACUCGCUGGCCCUGGUCACUGUGCUGAACGAGUACGAGCGGGCCCUGGACGUGGCGGCAGAGCCCAAGCACGAGCGGCAGCGCCGAGCCCAGAUACGCAAGAACAUCACGGAGACUCUGGUGUCCCUGAGGGUCCACACUGUGGAUGACAUCCAGCAGAUCGCUGCUGCGCUGGCCCAGUGCAUGGGGCCCAGCAGGGAGCUCGUAUGCCGCUCGUGCCUGAAGCAGACGCUGCACAAGCUGGAGGCCAUGAUGCGCAUCCUGCAGGCAGAGACCACCGCGGGCACCGUGACGCCCACCGCCAUCGGAGACAGCAUCCUCAACAUCACAGGAGACCUCAUCCACCUGGCCAGCUCAGACGUGCGGGCACCACAGCGCUCAGAGCUGGGAGCCGAGUCACCAUCGCGGAUGGUGGCGUCCCAGGCCUACAACCUGACCUCUGCCCUCACGCCCAUCCUCACGCGCUCCCGCGUGCUCAACGAGGAGCCCCUGACGCUGGCGGGUGAGGAGAUCGUGGCCCAGGGCAAGCGCUCGGACCCGCGGAGCCUGCUGUGCUAUGGCGGCGCCCCAGGGCCUGGCUGCCACUUCUCCAUCCCCUAGGCUUUCAGCAGGGCCCCGGCCAACCUCAGUGAUGUGGUGCAGCUCAUCUUUCUGGUGGACUCCAAUCCCUUUCCCUUUGGCUAUAUCAGCAACUACACCGUCUCCACCAAGGUGGCCUCGAUGGCGUUCCAGACACAGGCCGGCGCCCAGAUCCCCAUCGAGCGGCUGGCCUCAGAGCGCGCCUCACCGUGAAGGUGCCCAACAACUCGGACUGGGCUGCCCGGGGCCACCGCAGCUCCGCCAACUCCGUUGUGGUCCAGCCCCAGGCCUCCGUCGGUGCUGUGGUCACCCUGGACAGCAGCAACCCUGCGGCCGUGCUGCAUCUGCAGCUCAACUAUACGCUGCUGGACGGUGCAUGCAGCGGUUGGGGCACACGCGGCCCCCUGGCCUUGUUCUUGGGGGGAAGGCGUUUCUCGUAGGGCUUCCAUGGGUGUCUCUGGUGAAAUUUGCUUUCUGUUUCAUGGGCUGCUGGGGGCCUGGCCGGAGAGGAGCUGGGGGCCACGGAGAAGCAGGCCGCUACCUGUCUGAGGAACCCGAGCCCUACCUGGCAGUCUACCUGCACUCGGAGCCCCGGCCCAAUGAGCGCAACUGCUCGGCUAGCAGGAGGAUCCGCCCAGAGUCCCUCCAGGGUGCCGACCACCGGCCCUACACCUUCUUCAUUUCCCCGGGGACCAGAGACCCAGUGGGGAGUUACCGUCUGAACCUCUCCAGCCACUUCCGCUGGUCGGCGCUGGAGGUGUCCGUGGGCUUGUACACGUCCCUGUGCCAGUACUUCAGCGAGGAGGACGUGGUGUGGCGGACAGAGGGGCUGCUGCCCCUGGAGGAGACCUCGCCCCGCCAGGCCGUCUGCCUCACCCGCCACCUCACCGCCUUCGGCACCAGCCUCUUCGUGCCCCCAAGCCAUAUCCGCUUUGUGUUUCCUGAGCCAACAGCGGAUGUAAACUACAUCGUCAUGCUGACAUGUGCUGUGUGCCUGGUGACCUACAUGGUCAUGGCCGCCAUCCUGCACAAGCUGGACCAGUUGGAUGCCAGCCGGGGCCGCGCCAUCCCCUUCUGUGGGCAGCGGGGCCGCUUCAAGUACGAGAUCCUCGUCAAGACAGGCUGGGGCCGGGGCUCAGGUACCACGGCCCACGUGGGCAUCAUGCUGUAUGGGGUGGACAGCCGGAGCGGCCACCGGCACCUGGACGGCGACAGAGCCUUCCACCGCAACAGUCUGGACAUCUUCCAGAUCGCCACCCCGCACAGCCUGGGUAGCGUGUGGAAGAUCCGAGUGUGGCACGACAACAAAGGGCUCAGCCCUGCCCGGUUCCUGCAGCACAUCAUCGUCAGGGACCUGCAGACGGCACGCAGCACCUUCUUCCUGGUCAAUGACUGGCUUUCGGUGGAGACGGAGGCCAACGGGGGCCUGGUGGAGAAGGAGGUGCUGGCCGCGAGUCACGCAGCCCUGUUGCGCUUCCGGCGCCUGCUGGUGGCUGAGCUGCAGCGUGGCUUCUUUGACAAGCACAUCUGGCUCUCCAUAUGGGACCGGCCGCCUCGUAGCUAUUUCACUCACAUCCAGAGGGCCACCUGCUGCGUUCUCCUCAUCUGUCUCUUCCUGGGCGCCAACGCCGUGUGGUACGGGGCUGUUGGAGACUCUGCCUACAGCACGGGGCGUGUGUCCAGGCUGAACCCGCUGAGCGUCGACACAGUCGCUGUUGGCCUGGUGUCCAGCGUGGUUGUCUAUCCCGUCUACCUGGCCAUCCUCUUUCUCUUCCGGAUGUCCCGGAGCAAGGUGGCUGGGAGCCCGAGCCCCACACCUGCCGGGCAGCAGGUGCUGGACGUCGACAGCUGCCUGGACUCAUCCGUGCUGGACAGCUCCUUCCUCACGUUCUGAGGCCUCCACGCUGAGGUGAGGGCUCUACUGGGGGUCCUGCCGCCUUGGCGCAGCUUGGACUCAAGACCCUGUGCACCUCUCAGCAGGCCUUUGCUGGACAGAUGAAGAGUGACUUGUUUCUGGAUGAUUCUAAGAGUGACCUUGAGGAACCCUGGGAGCUCAGGAAGGAAGGAGCGCCCAGAAGCAGGGACAGGGAGCUGGUUGGGGAGGACCAGAAAUCAGGUUAUCAAUACUCUGGCUGACCAUCGUCAUCGUGGGACUGACUUUGGUGGAAGUCCUUGGUUACUUAUCAUUACUGUGUUUCUGAGAAGUUAUAAAUUUGCCAUCUCCCUCUGCACAAGUUACCUUUGUGUGUCUUUCCUGAAGACUAUCUUCCCGUCUCAAAAUGGACAUGAUGGAUCCACGGAUGUACAGCAGAGAGCCAGGAGGUCCAACCGCCGUAGACAGGAAGGAAUUAAAAUUGUCCUGGAAGACAUCUUUACUUUAUGGAGACAGGUGGAAACCAAAGUUCGAGCUAAAAUCCGUAAGAUGAAGGUGACAACAAAAGUCAACCGUCAUGACAAAAUCAAUGGAAAGAGGAAGACCGCCAAAGAACAUCUGAGGAAACUAAGCAUGAAAGAACGUGAGCACGGAGAAAAGGAGAGGCAGGUGUCAGAGGCAGAGGAAAAUGGGAAAUUGGAUAUGAAAGAAAUACACACCUACAUGGAAAUGUUUCAACGUGCGCAAGCGUUGCGGCGGCGGGCAGAGGACUACUACAGAUGCAAAAUCACCCCUUCUGCAAGAAAGCCUCUUUGCAACCGGUGCACUUACAAUUUGGUAUUACCUGGGAGUGAAAAGAAAUAUUACAGCCAUGCCUAACUGACUUCUUGAGGUCAGAAUGGCGGCAGUGGAGCAUCGUCAUUCUUCAGGAUUGCCCUACUGGCCCUACCUCACAGCUGAAACUUUAAAAAACAGGAUGGGCCACCAGCCACCUCCUCCAACUCAACAACAUUCUAUAAUUGAUAACUCCCUGAGCCUCAAGACACCUUCCGAGCGUCUGCUCUAUCCCCUUCCACCCUCAGCGGAUGAUAAUCUCAAGACACCUCCCGAGUGUCUGCUCACUCCCCUUCCACCCUCAGCUCUACCCUCAGCGGAUGAUAAUCUCAAGACACCUGCGGAGUGUCUGCUCUAUCCCCUUCCACCCUCAGCGGAUGAUAAUCUCAAGACACCUCCCGAGUGUCUGUUCACUCCCCUUCCACCCUCAGCUCCACCCUCAGUGGAUGAUAAUCUCAAGACACCUCCCGAGUGUGUCUGCUCACUCCCCUUCCACCCUCAGCGGAUGAUAAUCUCAAGAAACUAAGGAAGAAUAAAUAAAUAAUAUAAAAAUAAAAUG
rnacentral:misc_RNA from 1 species